UAGAGUUUGAUCCUGGCUCAGGAUGACGCUGGCGGCGUGCUUAACACAUGCAAGUCGAACGAAGCUCUUUGACUGGAGGAUUCGUCCAAAGGGAUGAGAUGACUUAGUGGCGGACGGGUGAGUAACGCGUGGGUAACCUGCCUCACACAGGGGGAUAACAGUUAGAAAUGACUGCUAAUACCGCAUAAGCGCACACUACCGCAUGGUAGAGUGUGAAAAACUUUCGUGGUGUGAGAUGGACCCGCGUCUGAUUAGCCAGUUGGCAGGGUAACGGCCUACCAAAGCAACGAUCAGUAGCCGGCCUGAGAGGGUGAACGGCCACAUUGGGACUGAGACACGGCCCAAACUCCUACGGGAGGCAGCAGUGGGGGACAUUGCACAAUGGGGGAAACCCUGAUGCAGCGACGCCGCGUGAGCGAUGAAGUAUCUCGGUAUGUAAAGCUCUAUCAGCAGGAAGAAAAUGACGGUACCUGACUAAGAGCUCCGGCUAAAUACGUGCCAGCAGCCGCGGUAUACGUAUGGAGCAGCGUAUCGGAUUACUGGGUGUAAAGGAGCGUAACGCAUGGCAGUCUGAUGUGAAAGUGUGGGCUCACCCGCAACUGCAUGAACU
rnacentral:rRNA from 1 species